GACGAACGCUGGCGGCGUGCUUAACACAUGCAAGUCGAGCGGUAAGGCUCCUUCGGGAGUACACGAGCGGCGAACGGGUGAGUAACACGUGAGUAAUCCGCCCUUCACUUCGGGAUAACCACCGGAAACGGUGGCUAAUACCGAAUACGACCAGUCUUCGCAUGAGGUGCUGGAGGAAAGUCUUUUCGGUGAAGGAUGUGCUCGCGGCCUAUCAGCUUGUUGGUGGGGUAAUGGCCUACCAAGGCUUCGACGGGUAGCCGGCCUGAGAGGGGGACCGGCCACACUGUGACUGAGACACGGCCCAGACUCCUACGGGAGGCAGCAGUAGGGAAUAUUGGACAAUGGGCGAAAGCCUGAUCCAGCAACGCCGCGUGAGGGAUGACGGCCUUCGGGUUGUAAACCUCUUGCAGUACCGACGAAGCGCCCAGUCGGGUGGUGACGGUAGGUAAAGAAGAAGGACCGGCCAACUACGUG
rnacentral:rRNA from 1 species